AGUGAACGCUGGCGGUAGGCCUAACACAUGCAAGUCGAACGGCAGCACAGUAAGAGCUUGCUCUUACGGGUGGCGAGUGGCGGACGGGUAAGGAAUACAUCGGAAUCUACUUUUUCGUGGGGGAUAACGUAGGGAAACUUACGCUAAUACCGCAUACGACCUACGGGUGAAAGCAGGGGAUCUUCGGACCUUGCGCGAUUGAAUGAGCCGAUGUCGGAUUAGCUAGUUGGCGGGGUAAAGGCCCACCAAGGCGACGAUCCGUAGCUGGUCUGAGAGGAUGAUCAGCCACACUGGAACUGAGACACGGUCCAGACUCCUACGGGAGGCAGCAGUGGGGAAUACUGGACAAUGGGCGCAAGCCUGAUCCAGCCAUACCGCGUGGGUGAAGAAGGCCUUCGGGUUGUAAAGCCCUUUUGUUGGGAAAGAAAAGCAGCAGGUUAAUACCCCGCUGUUCUGACGGUACCCAAAGAAUAAGCACCGGCUAACUUCGUG
rnacentral:rRNA from 1 species